UACGUAGGUGGCGAGCGUUGUCCGGAUUUACUGGGCGUAAAGAGCGCGCAGGCGGUCGUUCAAGUCGCGUGUGAAAGCCCCCGGCUCAACUGGGGAGGGUCACGCGAUACUGAUCGACUCGAAGGCAGGAGAGGGAAGUGGAAUUCCCGGUGUAGUGGUGAAAUGCGUAGAUAUCGGGAGGAACACCAGUGGCGAAGGCGACUUCCUGGCCUGUUCUUGACGCUGAGGCGCGAAAGCGUGGGGGAGCGAACAGG
rnacentral:rRNA from 1 species